UCCCUCGAGCCGGAUUUGAACCAGCGACCUAAGGAUCACCGUUGUAACAUCUACAGUCCUCCGCUCUUCCAACUGAGCUAUCGAGGG
rnacentral:tRNA from 1 species